UGGUUAUGAAACAAUUGACUGUGUCGGUAUGCAGCCGAUUGUGGAGCCAGACCUUGGGUUAUGCGAUAACCUCAAACCGAAUAGGUUCUUCAGAACUGAAAGAAAACGCUUUUA
ncrna:Dorea sp. 5-2 drum RNA